rnacentral:rRNA from 1 species
CUUGCUUGGGGUACUCGAGUGGCGAACGGGUGAGUAAUACGUGGGUAACCUGCCCUCUUCUUUGGGAUAAGCCCUGGAAACGGGGUCUAAUACCGGAUAUUCUGCUUCUGCCGCAUGGUGGGGGUUGGAAAGGUUUUUCGGUGGGGGAUGGGCCCGCGGCCUAUCAGCUUGUUGGUGGGGUGAUGGCCUACCAAGGCUUCGACGGGUAGCCGGCCUGAGAGGGUGACCGGCCACAUUGGGACUGAGAUACGGCCCAGACUCCUACGGGAGGCAGCAGCG